GAAAGUAAAUAAGGGCGCAUGGCGGAUGCCUUGGCUCUCGGAGGCGAUGAAGGACGUGAUAAGCUGCGAUAAGCUUCGGGUAGGUGCAAAUGACCAUUGAUCCGAAGAUUUCCGAAUGGGACAACCCGGCAUUCUGAAGGAAUGUCAUCCAACUUGGUUGGAGGCUAACGCAGGGAACUGAAACAUCUUAGUACCUGCAGGAAAAGAAAAUAAAUAAUGAUUCCCCUAGUAGUGGCGAGCGAACGGGGAUUAGCCCAAACCACCCAUGUUACGGCAUGUGUGGGGUUGUAGGACCACGCUCUCGCAAGACAGUUAUUGAGAAGAAACGACUGGAAAGUCGUGCCAUAGACGGUGAUAGCCCGGUAUUCUAAGGUAACCGAAGCGUAGUGGUAUCCUGAGUAGCGCGGAGCACGAGGAAUUCUGCGUGAAUCAGCCGGGACCAUCCGGUAAGGCUAAAUACUCCCGAGAGACCGAUAGCGAACCAGUACUGUGAAGGAAAGGUGAAAAGCACUUCGAAUAGAAGAGUGAAAUAGUCCCUGAAACCAUGCGCCUACAAGCGGUCGGAGCAGCUUUAGCUGUGACGGCGUGCCUUUUGCAUAAUGAACCUACGAGUUACUUUUUCCGGCAAGGUUAAGCAUCUUGAGAUGUGGAUCCGAAGCGAAAGCGAGUCUGAACAGGGCGGAUAGUCGGAAGGAGUAGACGCGAAACCAAGUGAUCUACCCUUGGGCAGGUUGAAGGUUAGGUAACACUAACUGGAGGACCGAACCGAUAAGCGUUGAAAAGCUUCCGGAUGACCUGAGGGUGGGGGUGAAAGGCUAAUCAAACUUGGAGAUAGCUCGUACUCCCCGAAAUGCAUUUAGGUGCAGCCUUGAGAGUUACUAAUGUGAGGUAGAGCGACUGAUAAGAUGCGAGGGCUUCACCGCCUAUCAAGUCUUGACAAACUCCGAAUGCGCAUUAGUUCUAUCUCAGGAGUGAGGGCAUGGGUGCUAAGGUCCAUGUCCUAAAGGAGAAGAAUCCAGACCAUCAGCUAAGGUCCCCAAAUAAACACUAAGUUGAACUAACGAAGUCAGAUUGCUAAGACAGCUAGGAUGUUGGCUUGGAAGCAGCCAUUCAUUUAAAGAGUGCGUAACAGCUCACUAGUCGAGGAGUUUGGCGUGGAUAAUAAUCGGGCAUAAGUGUUUUACCGAAGCUAUGGGAUCCUAAUGGAUCGGUAGGGGAGCAUUCCACUCAGCGUUGAAGGCGAAGCGUGAGCUUUACUGGAGCGUGUGGAAAAGCAAAUGUAGGUAUAAGUAACGAUAAAGGGGGUGAGAAACCCCCUCGCCGCAAGACUAAGGUUUCCUGAUCAACGCUAAUCGGAUCAGGGUUAGUCGGGUCCUAAGGCUCAGCCGAACGGUGAGGCCGAUGGCAGAACAGGUUAAUAUUCCUGUACUACCUAUAAGAGUGAUGUGGAGACGGAGGAGUGACAACGCCGCGGACUGACGGAAUAGUCCGUUAAAGGGUGUAGAUGUUGAUUAUCCCAGGCAAAUCCGGGAUAAGAGUCGAACCUGACAGUAUACCAAUUUCCUCGGAAAACGGUAAUAGUGCGUGUAAACAUACUCCCAAGAAAAUCCGCUAAACUUAAUCUUAUAGGUACCCGUACCGUAAACGGACACACGUAGUCGGGUUGAAUAUACUCAGGCGCUUGAGUGAAUCACGGUUAAGGAACUAGGCAAAUUGACCCUGUAACUUCGGGAUAAAGGGUCCCUACCCGGUGACGGGAGGGCGCAGAGAAUAGGUCCAGGCAACUGUUUAACAAAAACACAGGGCUGUGCAAAAUUGAAAGAUCACGUAUACAGCCUGACACCUGCCCGGUGCUGGAAGGUUAAGAGGAGAUGUCAUCGCGAGAGAAGCGUUGAAUUGAAGCCCCAGUAAACGGCGGCCGUAACUAUAACGGUCCUAAGGUAGCGAAAUUCCUUGUCGGGU
rnacentral:rRNA from 1 species